UUCUAUUCGUUUCGUUUGUUUUUAUUUCAAAAGUCGUUCAAUUUGUUUCCAAGGAAAUGUAUAAUAUAAAAUCGUGUCCAAUUUGAUAUUUUUUGAUAUGUCUCAUAAAAUAACAGAAAAGAAUUCGCAACUUUUGACUAAUUUGAUAUUUCCAAUAGUGUAUUAGUGGAUUCGAUGGCCCUGUGCUCCACCUCCCGAUAUAUCAAGGCGUUCUUCGAUCAUUUUGAAAAGUUUCAAAUGAUGUUUCUAUCCCAAUUAUCCAAGCGAGAUUGUUAUCUAGUGGCUCUUGAAUAGUUAAAAUAUCUGUUUAUUUUAUUGUUUUUUUUUUUUUUACCCAAACCUAUACUUUUAUCUAAUGCAAUUAAAACUGGUUACAAUUGUUUGUUUAAAGGCUGGUAAAGAAGAAGGUUUCGAUUAAUGAAAGUUAAAUUCGAGUCGUAACAAAUGUAAUUUGAUUUGUCUUGGAUGCUAUCAUAGUAUCAUACUCUCUGAAAAAGCAAUUUAUAGGGACUAGAUUUAUUAGACUAACAUGAACUGUGUAUAUAAGCAGUACGUAAGAUAGCUUUGUUUUUGUUGUAACCACG
rnacentral:lncRNA from 1 species